AAGGGUAUAGCUUAGUGGUAGAGCACAUGUCUAGCGUGCACAAGGUCCUGGGUUCAGUCCCUAGUACCUCCA
rnacentral:tRNA from 1 species